rnacentral:rRNA from 1 species
UAACAUCAAAUCGUACCCCAAACCGACACAGGUGGUCAGGUAGAGAAUACCAAGGCGCUUGAGAGAACUCGGGUGAAGGAACUAGGCAAAAUGGUGCCGUAACUUCGGGAGAAGGCACGCUGAUAUGUAGGUGAAGUCCCUCGCGGAUGGAGCUGAAAUCAGUCGAAGAUACCAGCUGGCUGCAACUGUUUAUUAAAAACACAGCACUGUGCAAACACGAAAGUGGACGUAUACGGUGUGACGCCUGCCCGGUGCCGGAAGGUUAAUUGAUGGGGUCAGCGCAAGCGAAGCUCUUGAUCGAAGCCCCGGUAAACGGCGGCCGUAACUAUAACGGUCCUAAGGUAGCGAAAUUCCUUGUCGGGUAAGUUCCGACCUGCACGAAUGGCGUAAUGAUGGCCAGGCUGUCUCCACCCGAGACUCAGUGAAAUUGAACUCGCUGUGAAGAUGCAGUGUACCCGCGGCAAGACGGAAAGACCCCGUGAACCUUUACUAUAGCUUGACACUGAACAUUGAGCCUUGAUGUGUAGGAUAGGUGGGAGGCUUUGAAGUGUGGACGCCAGUCUGCAUGGAGUCGACCUUGAAAUACCACCCUUUAAUGUUUGAUGUUCUAACGUGGACCCGUGAUCCGGGUUGCGGACAGUGUCUGGUGGGUAGUUUGACUGGGGCGGUCUCCUCCUAAAGAGUAACGGAGGAGCACGAAGGUUGGCUAAUCCUGGUCGGACAUCAGGAGGUUAGUGCAAUGGCAUAAGCCAGCUUGACUGCGAGCGUGACGGCGCGAGCAGGUGCGAAAGCAGGUCAUAGUGAUCCGGUGGUUCUGAAUGGAAGGGCCAUCGCUCAACGGAUAAAAGGUACUCCGGGGAUAACAGGCUGAUACCGCCCAAGAGUUCAUAUCGACGGCGGUGUUUGGCACCUCGAUGUCGGCUCAUCACAUCCUGGGGCUGAAGUAGGUCCCAAGGGUAUGGCUGUUCGCCAUUUAAAGUGGUACGCGAGCUGGGUUUAGAACGUCGUGAGACAGUUCGGUCCCUAUCUGCCGUGGGCGAUGGAGAACUGAGGGGGGCUGCUCCUAGUACGAGAGGACCGGAGUGGACGCAUCACUGGUGUUCGGGUUGUCAUGCCAAUGGCACUGCCCGGUAGCUAAAUGCGGAAGAGAUAAGUGCUGAAAGCAUCUAAGCACGAAACUUGCCCCGAGAUGAGUUCUCCCUGACCCUUUAAGGGUCCUGAAGGAACGUUGAAGACGACGACGUUGAUAGGCCGGGUGUGUAAGCGCAGCGAUGCGUUGAGCUAACCGGUACUAAUGAACCGUGAGGCUUAACCUU